GCAAGCAAGCGCUGCGGUAAUAGACCUUGAAUUACAAUUAAUCCUGCCUGGCUCGAUUUGCCAAUAGUAAUUCCAGCGCUGCAGGAGCAGGACGGGGUUCGGGCUCGGGUGGAGACUGCAGGGGUGGAGAAAUGAGACGACUCGAGUGAGAGAGAAAGCGAAUGAAUGAUCUACAAUCGUGUUAGCUGUCACUCAGGCAAAAAUUACAGCUCUUUUACGGCCUCGACGAAGACCGGGCCAUUAGUCUUUCAGGAAAGAAGAGAAUGACAUGAAGUGAUGGGGAGGAGGGAGGCCAGUAGGAUCAGGAAAGGACCAUAACUCGGGUUGCCCCAAAGCUGGCUACAUGUCUGGAUCACUUUCCACACAAGCUCCGACUCUAAAUCGAAGCAGCAUUGAUUCGCCCCCAUCCUUCCCACCACCACCAGGAGGUCCCUGUUCAUACAACCCCAGGGGGGUUGUCUACGCCCCCGCCUUCAUCUCAAGGCGGGCAGUGGAGGACUUCUUGGCCCUCUGGAUGCGAGCCACGGACAGGGCCUACUCCAA